UACAGAGGUCUCAAGCGUUGUUCGGAUUCAUUGGGCGUAAAGGGUGCGUAGGUGGCGCGGUAAGUCGGGUGUGAAAUCUCGGAGCUUAACUCCGAAAUUGCAUUCGAUACUGCCGUGCUCGAGGACUGGAGAGGAGACUGGAAUUCAUGGUGUAGCAGUGAAAAUGCGUAGAGAUCAUGAGGAAGACCAGUGGCGAAGGCGGGUCUCUGGACAGUUCCUGACACUGAGGCACGAAGGCCAGGGGAGCAAACGGG
rnacentral:rRNA from 1 species